rnacentral:lncRNA from 1 species
GUACAGGUGCAGGCUUUCUGGUGUAGGUUCCGACGCACCAGCCUUCAAUUUCUGCCUCUACUAUCCAUUUAGGCUGUGACCUCCAGUGGUAGUUCUCCACUUUCUCUAAUUCUCAGUUACUUCAUCCUUAAGAAGUGGUACAUAACUCACACCUUGUUCGGAUUAUAUGAGUAUGUGUGCAUACACCGUUUAGUGCAACGUAUGGCACAGAGUCAAGAAACGCAGGAUAUUAAGUUGAGGUCAUUUUUCUUUUGGGACGACAAGGACAGGGCACGGGCUGGGGCUCCGAGUGGUAACCAGCAGCGGGCUUUUCCUCCUGCCCUUCCUUUUGGGAAACGAAUGUGCUAAAAUAGCGCAUGCAGCCCAGGCUCUGGCCUAGGCCGUCGGUACCCGGCCAUGCUUAGCUCCUCUGAGGUCGCCCUUAGUGAGAAUACGAGGUGCCCCCACCCCGUUCACUCUAGACACCUCCAGAACACUCGCCUCCCGCGCACUGGAGCCGCGGGACACCCCCAGCAGCCAGCGUAGCGGGAUCACCCGGAAGCCCCAGGACCGCUUGGUGAAACCUGCGCAUGCGCAUCCGCGUCACGCUGCUGUUUAGCCGUUUCCAUGGCUACGAAGCCCGUCGGCCGGGGAUAGGAGAGCAAGAAAAUGAAGCUCAAGAGUUUCCUGCUCCGGUAUUAUCCGCCAGGAAUUAUGUUGGAAUAUGAAAAACAUGGAGAAUUAAAGACGAAGUCAAUAGAUUUGCUUGAUCUUGGUCCCAGUACUGAUAUCAGUGCUUUAGUGGAAGAAAUCCAGAAGGCAGAACCUCUAAUCACAGCUUCACGAACAGAGCAAGUCAAACUUUUGAUACAGAGGUUACAAGAGAAACUUGGCCAGCACAGCAAUCAUACAUUCUAUCUUUUAAGGUAAUGGAUUUACAAAACAUCAGAUAGAAGAAUUUCAGUGAAAUGAUUGAUACUUUAUUUAUU